ACGCUGGCGGCGUGCUUAACACAUGCAAGUCGAACGAUGAAGCCUAGCUUGCUAGGUGGAUUAGUGGCGAACGGGUGAGUAAUACGUGAGUAACCUACCUUUAACCCUGGGAUAAGCCUGGGAAACUGGGUCUAAUACCGGAUACGACCAAUCUCCGCAUGGGGUGUUGGUGGAAAGCGUUAUGUAGUGGUUAUAGAUGGGCUCACGGCCUAUCAGCUUGUUGGUGAGGUAACGGCUCACCAAGGCGACGACGGGUAGCCGGCCUGAGAGGGUGACCGGCCACACUGGGACUGAGACACGGCCCAGACUCCUACGGGAGGCAGCAGUGGGGAAUAUUGCACAAUGGGCGCAAGCCUGAUGCAGCGACGCCGCGUGAGGGAUGACGGCCUUCGGGUUGUAAACCUCUGUUAGCAGGGAAGAAGAGAGAUUGACGGUACCUGCAGAGAAAGCGCCGGCUAACUACGUGCCAGCAGCCGCGGUAAUACGUAGGGCGCGAGCGUUGUCCGGAAUUAUUGGGCGUAAAGAGCUUGUAGGCGGUUUGUCGCGUCUGCUGUGAAAGGCCGGAGCUUAACCCCGUGUAUUGCAGUGGGUACGGGCAGACUAGAGUUCAGUAGGGGAGACUGGAAUUCCUGGUGUAACGGUGGAAUGCGCAGAUAUCAGGAGGAACACCGAUGGCGAAGGCAGGUCUCUGGGCUGUAACUGACGCUGAGAAGCGAAAGCAUGGGGAGCGAACAGGAUUAGAUACCCUGGUAGUCCAUGCCGUAAACGUUGGGCACUAGGUGUGGGGGACAUUCCACGUUUUCCGCGCCGUAGCUAACGCAUUAAGUGCCCCGCCUGGGGAGUACGGCCGCAAGGCUAAAACUCAAAGAAAUUGACGGGGGCCCGCACAAGCGGCGGAGC
rnacentral:rRNA from 1 species